rnacentral:rRNA from 5 species
AACUUUCAACAAUGGAUCUCUUGGCUCUGGCAUCGAUGAAGAACGCAGCGAAAUGCGAUAAGUAGUGUGAAUUGCAGAAUUCAGUGAAUCAUCGAAUCUUUGAACGCACAUUGCGCCCCUCGGUAUUCCGUGGGGCAUGCCUGUUCGAGCGUCAUC